CGGGACUGUGUGGAUCAUGGCUUUUUAAGUUUGCAGUAGUAAUUAAUUUUCUAAAUUUUUGAUAUGAUUUACUUUUCAAAAUAAUUAAGAAUCAAUUCAUGAUUAUUCCUAUAUUAUUACUCUCAUUCAUAAUGGUUUAAAGAGCUUUCCUUCCAUGGGAGAAAAAGGAUGCUCUAGGGAUUGUGCAUAAUCCCCAUCAUAUCUACUCUACAACUCCGAGUAGUACUGCCCUCACGUGCCUCCUCUUGCCCUGUAAAGUGAGAGAAUGGAAGUAACCAUGAUAUGAACUGGAGAGAAGCAUGACCAAGUGCCAUCAAACUAUGACAGCCCUAUCCUGAAGCCCAUCUGCAUUCUGGAACCCCACAUUGGAGCCUGGCUUGCUUUAAGUUACAA
rnacentral:lncRNA from 1 species